rnacentral:rRNA from 1 species
UGGGAAACUGCCUGAUGGAGGGGGAUAACUACUGGAAACGGUAGCUAAUACCGCAUAACGUCGCAAGACCAAAGUGGGGGACCUUCGGGCCUCAUGCCAUCAGAUGUGCCCAGAUGGGAUUAGCUGGUAGGUGGGGUAACGGCUCACCUAGGCGACGAUCCCUAGCUGGUCUGAGAGGAUGACCAGCCACACUGGAACUGAGACACGGUCCAGACUCCUACGGGAGGCAGCAGUGGGGAAUAUUGCACAAUGGGCGCAAGCCUGAUGCAGCCAUGCCGCGUGUGUGAAGAAGGCCUUCGGGUUGUAAAGCACUUUCAGCGGGGAGGAAGGCGGUGAGGUUAAUAACCUCAUCGAUUGACGUUACCCGCAGAAGAAGCACCGGCUAACUCCGUGCCAGCAGCCGCGGUAAUACGGAGGGUGCAAGCGUUAAUCGGAAUUACUGGGCGUAAAGCGCACGCAGGCGGUCUGUCAAGUCGGAUGUGAAAUCCCCGGGCUCAACCUGGGAACUGCAUUCGAAACUGGCAGGCUAGAGUCUUGUAGAGGGGGGGUAGAAUUCCAGG